rnacentral:rRNA from 1 species
AUUGAACGCUGGCGGCAUGCUUUACACAUGCAAGUCGAACGGUAACAGGUCUUCGGAUGCUGACGAGUGGCGAACGGGUGAGUAAUGUAUCGGAACGUGCCCAGUAGUGGGGGGAUAACUACUCGAAAGAGUGGCUAAUACCGCAUGAGAACUGAGGUUGAAAGCGGGGGGACCUUCGGGCCUCGCGCUACUGGAGCGGCCGAUAUCAGAUUAGGUAGUUGGUGGGGUAAAGGCCUACCAAGCCGACGAUCUGUAGCUGGUCUGAGAGGACGACCAGCCACACUGGGACUGAGACACGGCCCAGACUCCUACGGGAGGCAGCAGUGGGGAAUUUUGGACAAUGGACGCAAGUCUGAUCCAGCAAUGCCGCGUGCAGGACGAAGGCCUUCGGGUUGUAAACUGCUUUUGUACAGAACGAAAGGCUCUGGUUAAUACCUGGGGCUCAUGACGGUACUGUAAGAAUAAGCACCGGCUAACUACGUGCCAGCAGCCGCGGU